GUCGAACGGUGAACACGGAGCUUGCUCUGUGGGAUCAGUGGCGAACGGGUGAGUAACACGUGAGCAACCUGCCCCUGACUCUGGGAUAAGCGCUGGAAACGGCGUCUAAUACUGGAUAUGUGACGUGACCGCAUGGUCUGCGUUUGGAAAGAUUUUUCGGUUGGGGAUGGGCUCGCGGCCUAUCAGCUUGUUGGUGAGGUAAUGGCUCACCAAGGCGUCGACGGGUAGCCGGCCUGAGAGGGUGACCGGCCACACUGGGACUGAGACACGGCCCAGACUCCUACGGGAGGCAGCAGUGGGGAAUAUUGCACAAUGGGCGAAAGCCUGAUGCAGCAACGCCGCGUGAGGGAUGACGGCCUUCGGGUUGUAAACCUCUUUUAGCAGGGAAGAAGCGAAAGUGACGGUACCUGCAGAAAAAGCGCCGGCUAACUACGUGCCAGCAGCCGCGGUAAUACGUAGGGCGCAAGCGUUAUCCGGAAUUAUUGGGCGUAAAGAGCUCGUAGGCGGUUUGUCGCGUCUGCUGUGAAAUCCCGAGGCUCAACCUCGGGCCUGCAGUGGGUACGGGCAGACUAGAGUGCGGUAGGGGAGAUUGGAAUUCCUGGUGUAGCGGUGGAAUGCGCAGAUAUCAGGAGGAACACCGAUGGCGAAGGCAGAUCUCUGGGCCGUAACUGACGCUGAGGAGCGAAAGGGUGGGGAGCAAACAGGCUUAGAUACCCUGGUAGUCCACCCCGUAAACGUUGGGAACUAGUUGUGGGGUCCAUUCCACGGAUUCCGUGACGCAGCUAACGCAUUAAGUUCCCCGCCUGGGGAGUACGGCCGCAAGGCUAAAACUCAAAGGAAUUGACGGGGACCCGCACAAGCGGCGGAGCAUGCGGAUUAAUUCGAUGCAACGCGAAGAACCUUACCAAGGCUUGACAUAUACGAGAACGGGCCAGAAAUGGUCAACUCUUUGGACACUCGUAAACAGGUGGUGCAUGGUUGUCGUCAGCUCGUGUCGUGAGAUGUUGGGUUAAGUCCCGCAACGAGCGCAACCCU
rnacentral:rRNA from 1 species